rnacentral:rRNA from 1 species
GACGAACCGUGCGAACGUUAUUCGGAAUCACUGGGCUUAAAGCGCGUGUAGGCGGGUUCGUACGUCCGUCGCUGAAAUCCCCCGGCUCAACCGGGGAACGGGCGUGGAUACAGCGGACCUGGAGGGGCGUAGGGGGACCUGGAACUUCCGGUGGAGCGGUGAAAUGCGUUGAGAUCGGAAGGAACGCCCGUGGCGAAAGCGAGGUCCUGGACGCCUACUGACGCUGAGACGCGAAAGCCAGGGGAGCGAACGGG